CCUACGGGGGGCAGCAGUGAGGAAUAUUGGUCAAUGGACGAGAGUCUGAACCAGCCAAGUAGCGUGAAGGAUGACUGCCCUAUGGGUUGUAAACUUCUUUUAUAUGGGAAUAAAAUGUUCCACGUGUGGGAUUUUGUAUGUACCAUAUGAAUAAGGAUCGGCUAACUCCGUGCCAGCAGCCGCGGUAAUACGGAGGAUCCGAGCGUUAUCCGGAUUUAUUGGGUUUAAAGGGAGCGUAGGUGGAUUGUUAAGUCAGUUGUGAAAGUUUGCGGCUCAACCGUAAAAUUGCAGUUGACACUGGCAGUCUUGAGUACAGUAGAGGUGGGCGGAAUUCGUGGUGUAGCGGUGAAAUGCUUAGAUAUCACGAAGAACUCCGAUUGCGAAGGCAGUUCACUGGACUGCAACUGACACUGAGGCUCGAAAGUGUGGGUAUCAAACAGGAUUAGAUACCCGUGUAGUC
rnacentral:rRNA from 1 species